rnacentral:rRNA from 1 species
GACGAACGCUGGCGGCGUGCUUAACACAUGCAAGUCGAACGGAAAGGCCCUGCUUGCAGGGUACUCGAGUGGCGAACGGGUGAGUAACACGUGGGUGAUCUGCCCUGCACUUCGGGAUAAGCCUGGGAAACUGGGUCUAAUACCGGAUAGGAGCCAUUUUUAGUGUGAUGGUUGGAAAGUUUUUUCGGUGUAGGAUGGGCUCGCGGCCUAUCAGCUUGUUGGUGGGGUAAUGGCCUACCAAGGCGGCGACGGGUAGCCGGCCUGAGAGGGUGGACGGCCACAUUGGGACUGAGAUACGGCCCAGACUCCUACGGGAGGCAGCAGCGGGGAAUAUUGCACAAUGGGCGCAAGCCUGAUGCAGCGACGCCGCGUGGGGGAUGACGGCCUUCGGGUUGUAAACUCCUUUCGCUAGGGACGAAGCUUUUUGUGACGGUACCUAGAUAAGAAGCACCGGCUAACUACGUG